GAUGAACGCUAGCGGCAGGCUUAAUACAUGCAAGUCGAGGGGCAGCACGGUUAGCAAUAACUGGUGGCGACCGGCGCACGGGUGCGUAACACGUAUACAAUCUACCCUGAACAGGGGGAUAGCCUUUCGAAAGAGAGAUUAAUACCCCGUAAUAAAUUGAACGGCAUCGUUUGAUUUUGAAAGCUCCGGCGGUUUGAGAUGAGUAUGCGUCUGAUUAGCUAGUUGGUGAGGUAACGGCUCACCAAGGCGACGAUCAGUAGGGGAUCUGAGAGGACUAACCCCCCACACUGGUACUGAGACACGGACCAGACUCCUACGGGAGGCAGCAGUAAGGAAUAUUGGUCAAUGGAGGCAACUCUGAACCAGCCAUGCCGCGUGCAGGAUGACGGCCCUAUGGGUUGUAAACUGCUUUUAUACAAGAGAAAACCCUGGUACGUGUACCAGGUUGAUAGUAUUGUAAGAUAAGCAUCGGCUAACUUCGUGCCAGCAGCCGCGGUAA
rnacentral:rRNA from 1 species